rnacentral:snRNA from 1 species
AGGCGGGAUUACCCGCUGA